rnacentral:rRNA from 1 species
AUUGAACGCUGGCGGCAUGCCUUACACAUGCAAGUCGAACGGUAACAGGUCUUCGGAUGCUGACGAGUGGCGAACGGGUGAGUAAUACAUCGGAACGUGCCCGAUCGUGGGGGAUAACGAAGCGAAAGCUUUGCUAAUACCGCAUAAGAUCUACGGAUGAAAGCAGGGGACCGCAAGGCCUUGCGCGAAAGGAGCGGCCGAUGGCAGAUUAGGUAGUUGGUGGGAUAAAAGCUUACCAAGCCGACGAUCUGUAGCUGGUCUGAGAGGACGACCAGCCACACUGGGACUGAGACACGGCCCAGACUCCUACGGGAGGCAGCAGUGGGGAAUUUUGGACAAUGGACGCAAGUCUGAUCCAGCCAUGCCGCGCGCGGGAAGAAGGCCUUCGGGUUGUAAACCGCUUUUGUCAGGGAAGAAACGAGUUUCUCUAAUACAGAGACUUAAUGACGGUACCUGAAGAAUAAGCACCGGCUAACUACGUGCCAGCCGCCGCCGUAACAC